rnacentral:rRNA from 1 species
GACGAACGCUGGCGGCGUGCCUAACACAUGCAAGUCGAGCGAUGAAGCCCUUCGGGGUGGAUUAGCGGCGGACGGGUGAGUAACACGUGGGUAACCUACCUCAAAGAGGGGGAUAGCCUCCCGAAAGGGAGAUUAAUACCGCAUAACAUUAGUUUUUCGCAUGAAGAACUAAUUAAAGGAGUAAUCCGCUUUGAGAUGGACCCGCGGCGCAUUAGCUAGUUGGUGAGGUAAAGGCUCACCAAGGCGACGAUGCGUAGCCGACCUGAGAGGGUGAUCGGCCACAUUGGAACUGAGAUACGGUCCAGACUCCUACGGGAGGCAGCAGUGGGGAAUAUUGCACAAUGGGCGAAAGCCUGAUGCAGCAACGCCGCGUGAGUGAUGAAGGCCUUCGGGUUGUAAAGCUCUGUCUUUGGGGACGAUAAUGACGGUACCCAAGGAGGAAGCCACGGCUAACUACGUGCCAGCAGCCGCGGUAAUACGUAGGUGGCAAGCGUUGUCCGGAUUUACUGGGCGUAAAGGAUGCGUAGGCGGAUAUUUAAGUCAGAUGUGAAAACCCCGAGCUUAACUUGGGGACUGCAUUUGAAACUGGAUAUCUAGAGUGUGGGAGAGGAGAAUGGAAUUCCUAGUGUAGCGGUGAAAUGCGUAGAGAUUAGGAAGAACACCAGUGGCGAAGGCGAUUCUCUGGACCAUAACUGACGCUGAGGCAUGAAAGCGUGGGUAGCAAACAGGAUUAGAUACCCUGGUAGUCCACGCCGUAAACGAUGAGUACUAGGUGUAGGAGGGUCCAACCUUCUGUGCCGCAGUUAACACAAUAAGUACUCC